CAGGCCUAACACAUGCAAGUCGAGCGGUAACAGAAAGAAAGCUUGCUUUCUUUGCUGACGAGCGGCGGACGGGUGAGUAAUGCCUGGGAAUAUGCCUUAGUGUGGGGGAUAACGUAUUGGAAACGAUAGCUAAUACCGCAUAACGUCUUCGGACCAAAGAGGGGGACCUUCGGGCCUCUCGCGCUAAGAUUAGCCCAGGUGGGAUUAGCUAGUUGGUGGGGUAAAGGCUCACCAAGGCAGCGAUCCCUAGCUGGUCUGAGAGGAUGAUCAGCCACACUGGAACUGAGACACGGUCCAGACUCCUACGGGAGGCAGCAGUGGGGAAUAUUGCACAAUGGGGGAAACCCUGAUGCAGCCAUGCCGCGUGUAUGAAGAAGGCCUUCGGGUUGUAAAGUACUUUCAGUCGUGAGGAAGGGUGUGUAGUUAAUAGCUGCAUGCCUUGACGUUAGCGACAGAAGAAGCACCGGCUAACUCCGUG
rnacentral:rRNA from 1 species